UACGUAGGGUCCAAGCGUUGUCCGGAUUUAUUGGGCGUAAAGAGCGUGUAGGCGGCCUGACAGGUCUGCUGUGAAAACUCGAGGCUCAACCUCGAGAUGUCGGCGGAAACCGUCUGGCUAGAGUCCGGAAGAGGAGAGUGGAAUUCCUGGUGUAGCGGUGAAAUGCGCAGAUAUCAGGAAGAACACCUAUGGCGAAGGCAGCUCUCUGGGACGGUACUGACGCUGAGACGCGAAAGCGUGGGGAGCGAACAGG
rnacentral:rRNA from 1 species